AAAAGGAGCAUGGAUUUAAAAAAAAUGUGAGCCUGGAUGAUAAAAAAAGAAAAAAAAGUGGCCACUGGAAGAGACGAAGAAGAAGCAAAAUGGGGGGAUAAGAUGGCUUACCAUGAGGAGAUCAUUGCACCACCAGCCGAAUGCCGUCGUCACGCCGCCGGAACCUCUCGGUAGAUGCCGCCGUUACAAUGCCUAGAUUCGACAUAGGAAACUCCGCGGCCACCACUGGAAAUCACGGGAGCCAAGGCCGGCUUAGAAGGAAGAAAAAGAAAAAAAAGAGAAAAAAAGAAAAAGAAAUCAGAUAAAAAGAAAAAGGGUGUGAAAGUUGCGCGAAAGAAGAUAAAGAAAAGAGAGAGAAAA
rnacentral:lncRNA from 1 species